GGGGGGGGGGGGGGGGGGGAUAAUAAAAAGAGGCCCGUUAUUAAUUUUAUUUUUUUUUCUCCCUCUUCAUAUAAUUAAAAGGGGAGGAAAGCCCCCGAGAAAAAAAAAAUUUGGGUUAUUAAACCUCUUUUUUUUUAUUUUCUUUUUAAAAAAAACUUUUUUUUUAUGAUUAUAAAGGGGUUUGGGGGUUUGGAGAGGGGGGUUGGGUUUUUUUUUUUUUUUUGAGGGGGGGGGGAAACGGGUUCCCCCCUAGAGUUCCAAAAAAAUAGGGGGCCCUGGGAGGGGGGACCCCCCCCCCCUGGGUUUUGAGACCCGGGGCCCAGAUUCCUUUCGGGGAGCCACCAGUAAGGAAAUAUUGGUCAAAUGGACGAAAAUUUUGACCCAGCCCAUGCCGGUGGCCAGGAUGAAUGCCCAUUGGGGUUGUUAAAUGCUUUUAUACAGGAAGAAAAACUUUUCUGGUGAGAAAGCUUGACGGUACUGUAAGGAAUAAGGAUGGGCUAACUCCGUGCCAGCAGCCGCCGGUAAUACGGAGGAUCCAAGCGUUAUCCGGGAAUUAUUGGGUUUAAAGGGUUCCGUAGGUGGAUAAUUAAGUCAGAGGUGAAAUCCUGCAGCUUAACUGUAGAAUUGCCUUUGAUACUGGUUAUCUUGAGUUAUUAUGAAGUGAUUAGAAUGUGUAGUGUAGCGGUGAAAUGCAUAGAUAUUACACAGAAUACCAAUUGCGAAGGCAGGUCACUAAUAAUCAACUGACACUGAGGGACGAAAGCGUGGGUAGCGAACAGGAUUAGAUACCCUGGUAGUCCACGCCGUAAACGAUGGUCACUAGCUGUUUGGACUUCGGUCUGAGUGGCUAAGCGAAAGUGAUAAGUGACCCACCUGGGGAGUACGUUCGCAAGAAUGAAACUCAAAGGAAUUGACGGGGGCCCGCACAAGCGGUGGAGCAUGUGGUUUAAUUCGAUGAUACGCGAGGAACCUUACCAGGGCUUAAAUGUUUGGUGACAGAUCUAGAAAUAGGUUUUUCUUCGGACACUAAACAAGGUGCUGCAUGGUUGUCGUCAGCUCGUGCCGUGAGGUGUCAGGUUAAGUCCUAUAACGAGCGCAACCCCUGUUGUUAGUUGCCAGCGAGUAAUGUCGGGAACUCUAACAAGACUGCCAGUGCAAACUGUGAGGAAGGUGGGGAUGACGUCAAAUCAUCACGGCCCUUAUGUCCUGGGCUACACACGUGCUACAAUGGUAGGUACAGAGAGCAGCCAAUGCGCGAGCAUGAGCAAAUCUAUAAAACCUAUCUCAGUUCGGAUCGAAGGCUGCAACUCGACUCCGUGAAGCUGGAAUCGCUAGUAAUCGGAUAUCAGCAAUGUCCUCUUGUUUCGCCCCC
rnacentral:rRNA from 1 species